UACAGAGACUGCAAGCGUUAUUCGGAUUCACUGGGCGUAAAGGGUGCGCAGGCGGCCAAGUGUGUGAGGCGUGAAAGCCUGGGGCUUAACUCCAGAAUUGCACCUCAAACUACAUGGCUAGAGCAUUGGAGAGGGUAGCAGAAUUCACGGUGUAGCAGUGAAAUGCGUAGAUAUCGAGAGGAACACCAGUGGCGAAGGCGAGUCCCUGGACAGGUCCUGACGCUGAGGCACGAAAGCUAGGGGAGCAAACAGG
rnacentral:rRNA from 1 species